UAUAUAUAUUUUAAAGUGUUGGCUUGUACCACAUACGUAGCUUAUUCAUGUGUGAAAAACAAUACACCACAGUGGAAAAACAUUAUCAGUUUCUUGUAACC